GGCGGUCUCCUCCUAAAGAGUAACGGAGGAGCACGAAGGUUGGCUAAUCCUGGUCGGACAUCAGGAGGUUAGUGCAAUGGCAUAAGCCAGCUUGACUGCGAGCGUGACGGCGCGAGCAGGUGCGAAAGCAGGUCAUAGUGAUCCGGUGGUUCUGAAUGGAAGGGCCAUCGCUCAACGGAUAAAAGGUACUCCGGGGAUAACAGGCUGAUACCGCCCAAGAGUUCAUAUCGACGGCGGUGUUUGGCACCUCGAUGUCGGCUCAUCACAUCCUGGGGCUGAAGUAGGUCCCAAGGGUAUGGCUGUUCGCCAUUUAAAGUGGUACGCGAGCUGGGUUUAGAACGUCGUGAGACAGUUCGGUCCCUAUCUGCCGUGGGCGCUGGAGAACUGAGGGGGGCUGCUCCUAGUACGAGAGGACCGGAGUGGACGCAUCACUGGUGUUCGGGUUGUCAUGCCAAUGGCACUGCCCGGUAGCUAAAUGCGGAAGAGAUAAGUGCUGAAAGCAUCUAAGCACGAAACUUGCCCCGAGAUGAGUUCUCCCUGACCCUUUAAGGGUCCUGAAGGAACGUUGAAGACGACGACGUUGAUAGGCCGGGUGUGUAAGCGCAGCGAUGCGUUGAGCUAACCGGUACUAAUGAACCGUGAGGCUUAACCUUACAACGCCGAAGGUGUUU
rnacentral:rRNA from 1 species